UGGGGAAUUUUGGACAAUGGGCGUAAGCCUGAUCCAGCCAUACCGCGUGAGUGAAGAAGGCCUUCGGGUUGUAAAGCUCUUUCAGACGGAAAGAAACGGUUACGGCUAAUACCCGUGACUAAUGACGGUACCGUAAGAAGAAGCACCGGCUAACUACGUGCCAGCAGCCGCGGUAAUACGUAGGGUGCGAGCGUUAAUCGGAAUUACUGGGCGUAAAGCGUGCGCAGGCGGUUUGGUAAGACAGAUGUGAAAUCCCCGGGCUUAACCUGGGAACUGCAUUUGUGACUGCCAGACUAGAGUGUAGCAGAGGGGGGUAGAAUUCCACGUGUAGCAGUGAAAUGCGUAGAUAUGUGGAGGAAUACCGAUGGCGAAGGCAGCCCCCUGGGCUAACACUGACGCUCAUGCACGAAAGCGUGGGGAGCAAACAGGAUUAGAUACCCCCGUAGUCCCUGAGCGGGCUGGCAAGGCGCAU
rnacentral:rRNA from 1 species